UCCUACGGGGGGCAGCAGCGGGGAAUAUUGCACAAUGGGGGAAACCCUGAUGCAGCAACGCCGCGUGAAGGAAGACGGUUUUCGGAUUGUAAACUUCUGUUCUUAGUGAAGAAGAAUGACGGUAGCUAAGGAGCAAGCCACGGCUAACUACGUGCCAGCAGCCGCGGUAAUACGUAGGUGGCAAGCGUUGUCCGGAUUUACUGGGUGUAAAGGGCGUGCAGCCGGGAAGACAAGUCAGAUGUGAAAUCCCGCGGCUCAACCGCGGAACUGCAUUUGAAACUGUUUUUCUUGAGUACCGGAGAGGU
rnacentral:rRNA from 1 species